AACUACCAUUGAGGAUGCUCUA
rnacentral:siRNA from 1 species